GUCGUGACCGGUUGGGCCACACUCAACGUGGGACGAAGCUUCGCCUACUGUUUGACUACGUGCGUGCCGCCUCCCCUCGAUGUCGGCCCUCGAAAAGAGCAUGCACCUCGGCCGCCUUCCCUCUCGCCCACCUCUACCCGGCAGCGGGGGCAGUCAGAGCGGAGCCAAGAUGCGAAUGGGCCCUGGAAGAAAGCGGGACUUUUCCCCUGUUCCUUGGAGUCAGUAUUUUGAGUCCAUGGAAGAUGUAGAAGUAGAGAAUGAAACUGGCAAGGAUACUUUUCGAGUCUACAAGAGUGGUUCAGAGGGUCCAGUCCUGCUCCUUCUGCAUGGAGGAGGUCAUUCUGCCCUUUCUUGGGCUGUGUUCACGGCAGCGAUUAUUAGUAGAGUUCAGUGUAGGAUUGUAGCUUUGGAUCUGCGAAGUCAUGUAGAGGCAGGGUUUCACCAUGUUGGCCAGGCUGAUAUCGAACUCUUGACCUCAAGUGAUCCAU
rnacentral:sRNA from 1 species